rnacentral:lncRNA from 1 species
AGGGACUAGAGAUCUUGGAAAUAAAUGGCUGAGGGAACAAUGGAUGGGUUAUGAGGCUACAACCAACCGUGAUUACAAUGGAGUUUAAAGUUCCAGAAGCAGAGACAUUCCAAAGCAUGAGGCCAGGGAGUGGGUGAUGUGGUUGGGCUGCUGAAGCAAAGUGGUGAGAACCGUCGCUGUGAUCUAAGUCACUGAAUACAUCCCCCAGCCCUCAAUGCAGGUCACCACUUUCUGAACGUCUUCUUCGAGUCUCCCAGGCAAAAGGAAGCCCCCUCCUCCAUGUGGUCACAGUCCCUACAGCACUGCUGUAUGCCCCUUUCCUAAAGCAGGAGCCACUUUCUACCUUCUCUACAGUGAGGGCAGAGUCCCUUCUGCUCCGAAUCGCACAAGCAUAAGCUUGGUGGGUGAAAAGUCUCUGAAGUGUUCACCUCACAAGCCCUCCAACUUCU